rnacentral:lncRNA from 1 species
UCUAACACUCUAUUAUUCACAGGUCACAUGAAACAAAAUUGCCAUUCAUCUAAAACAACCAAAAUUCGUACAUGCAAAUGCCAUCAAAAGGACUUUUCCAAGGGUUGUAAUGAGGCUGGGCUAACAAGAAAAUUGGUUUUUUUGGAAUACAAAGUCCUUGAGCUAAGAGAGCUACCAUAAUAUUCAACAUUCAAGCACAACUCUCUUCCUCACCAAUCUCUCUUAUUCCCAACUUUUUCCCUUUUCUUUUGCAUUGAGCCCCUUUUCAUGCUUUUCUUCUUUUCUUUUCUUUUUCUCAUGUAUUUUUCUUUCACAACAUUUGAGCUCAAUACUUUUCAAGUGCCUUCCAAUUUCCCCCAUGCAACCCCAA